rnacentral:rRNA from 1 species
GAUGAACGCUGGCGGCGUGCUUAACACAUGCAAGUCGAACGAUGAAGCCCAGCUUGCUGGGUGGGUUAGUGGCGAACGGGUGAGUAACACGUGAGUAACCUGCCCUUGACUCUGGGAUAAGCCUGGGAAACUGGGUCUAAUACUGGAUAUGACUUCUCAUCGCAUGGUGGGGGGUGGAAAGAUUUAUUGGUCUUGGAUGGACUCGCGGCCUAUCAGCUUGUUGGUGAGGUAAUGGCUCACCAAGGCGACGACGGGUAGCCGGCCUGAGAGGGUGACCGGCCACACUGGGACUGAGACACGGCCCAGACUCCUACGGGAGGCAGCAGUGGGGAAUAUUGCACAAUGGGCGCAAGCCUGAUGCAGCGACGCCGCGUGCGGGAUGACGGCCUUCGGGUUGUAAACCUCUUUCAGUAGGGAAGAAGCGAGAGUGACGGUACCUGCAGAAGAAGCGCCGGCUAACUACGUG